GACGAACGCUGGCGGCGUGCUUAACACAUGCAAGUCGAGCGGUAAGGCCCUUUCGGGGGUACACGAGCGGCGAACGGGUGAGUAACACGUGGGUGACCUGCCCUCAGCUCUGGGAUAAGCCUGGGAAACUGGGUCUAAUACUGGAUAUGACUCCACGGUGCAUGUCGUGGGGUGGAAAGCCUUGUGCGGCUGAGGAUGGGCCCGCGGCCUAUCAGCUUGUUGGUGGGGUGAUGGCCUACCAAGGCGACGACGGGUAGCCGGCCUGAGAGGGCGACCGGCCACACUGGGACUGAGACACGGCCCAGACUCCUACGGGAGGCAGCAGUGGGGAAUCUUGCGCAAUGGGCGAAAGCCUGACGCAGCGACGCCGCGUGCGGGAAGACGGCCUCGGUGUAACG
rnacentral:rRNA from 1 species